AGGACGAACGCUGGCGGCGUGCUUAACACAUGCAAGUCGAGCGGUAAGGCCUCCUUCGGGGGGUACACGAGCGGCGAACGGGUGAGUAACACGUGGGUGACCUGCCCUCAGCUCUGGGAUAAGCCUGGGAAACUGGGUCUAAUACUGGAUAUGACUGCGCAUCGCAUGGUGUGUGGUGGAAAGUUUUUUCGGCUGGGGAUGGGCCCGCGGCCUAUCAGCUUGUUGGUGGGGUGAUGGCCUACCAAGGCGACGACGGGUA
rnacentral:rRNA from 1 species